AACGAACGCUGGCGGCAUGCCUAACACAUGCAAGUCGAACGGGACCUCCGGGUCUAGUUGCGCUCGGGGGCGUAACGCGGGGGAAGCUGCACGUAGGUACCGAAUACCUCCCCGUAGGGGGAGCUAAUGCAGGAUAAUGUAAUCGGACAAACGAUUUAUCGCUGUAGGGUGGGCCCGCGUUGGUUUAGCCGGUUGGUAGUGGAAAAGCCGGUCAAGGCGACGUUCCAUAGCUGGUCUGAGAGGAUGAUACGCCACACUUGGACUGAGACACGGCCCAGACUCCUACGCAAGGCAGCAGUGUAUAAUAUAGGACAAUGGGGGAAAGCCUGAUCCAGCAAUGCCGCGUGAGUCGUGAUGGCGUUAGGGUUGUAAAGCUCUUUUACCCGGGGUGAUAAUGACGGUACCGGGAGAAUAAGCUCCGGCUAACUCCGUG
rnacentral:rRNA from 1 species